AACCUCUACAAUGCACGAAAGUGUGAUAGGGGGAUUCCACGUGCAAGCUUUGCUUGCUUUUCUCAAGUCCAAAACGCUUGGGGAAUAAGGGCUGGGCAAGACCCGUGCCAGCCGCCGCGGUAACACGGGCAGCUCGAGUAGCGUUCGCGUAUAUUGGGCCUAAAGCGUGCGUAGCCGGCUGAGAAAGUUCUUUGUGAAAGCAUGCGACUUAAUCGUGUGAAUUGCAAGGAAUACUACUCGGCUUGGGACCGGGAAGGGUCGGAGGUAUUUCCGGGGUAGGGGUAAAAUCCUGUGAUCCCGGAAGGACCAUCGGUGGCGAAGGCGUCCGACUGGAACGGGUCCGACGGUGAGGCACGAAAGCUAGGGGAGCGACCCGGAUUAGAUACCCGGUUAGUCCUAGCCGUAAAUGAUGCAGGUUUGGUAUUGCACUUCUUACGAGGAAUUGCAGUGCCGUAGGGAAGCCGUUAAACCUGCCGCCUGGGAGUACGCCGCAAGGC
rnacentral:rRNA from 1 species